GCCCUUGCUGGGAAAGGCCCCAGGCCACGUUUCUGGGGGAGGAGAAGAACCGCGGGUGGACACGCUCGGCCCCAGGCCACCAGGGAACGUUCGUGUCUGGAGAACGAGGCCCAGAUCCGUUUGAUGGGAGCAGCUCUGGCCAAGCCUGGAGGGCUGGCCCUGCCUGCUUAGGGUUGGACCUGAAGAAAUGCACUGGCCUAACCCAGUGGCCUCCGCUGACCGCGGUGGGAUGGGGUUAGGGCUGGAGGCACAUCCACCUCCCACCCCUCAAAGAGGAUGUCUGUCCAAGGGUCAAAGAACUGGAGAGGCUGAGUAAGUUGAGGGUGGGUGGCUGCCCAGUGAAGGCGGGAGUAGUAGGAAGAAGGAAGGAGGCGUAAAAAGAAGGAAGAAGAAUUUUAAGAACAUGCCAAGGACAUAACUGCAGUCCUUGGAAAGGUUUAGGUUCUGUCCAGGGUCAAGAAGGUCAAACUGAGAGAGUGUUGAGCUCUUUUUCAGAAGCCACUGGAGCAAAGACCAACAUCUCUAGGAGAGAGCACAGUCUCCAGACGUGCAGGCUCAGCGGCCAUGGCUCAUGGGCCCAGCCGCUCUGCAACACGUGGGAUCCUCCCGGACCGGGGCACGAACCCGUGUCCCCUGCAUCGGCAGGCGGACUCUCAACCACUGCGCCACCAGGGAAGCCCUGGAAUAAUGAAUUUUUAUUUGGAGAUAAUCAUAGAGAUGGGCAGGGGGUGCCAGUCUGGGGGCUCCUGGGCCUUGGGGUCAUUCACUCCUUGAAAGGGGGCUCUUUGGGAGCAGGUCUGUUUAAGCUCCCAAUCAAGCCUGCUAUGGGAAGGUGGGAGCUCUCCCUGUCUAGGCCACCCGACGUCGCCCCGGUAUAGUGUCCACACUCCUGUCUGGAGAGCAGGACAUUUGCCCAGCUGCACCUUCAUCCCUUGAAGGGAACUGAAGACUCCUCCAAGGUGGGAAGAAAGGUCUAAUAUGUCAUUUGGUGAUCAUCACACUCUCCCCGCAUGUUGGUAAGCACUGAGUGUGAACUUACUGAAGACCUUUAGGGGUAAGUGCCAGCCAGACAGUGAGGACCUGGCUAUUCCUGCAGCAUCAGCAUCACUGGGAGCUUGUUAGUGAUGCAGACUCUCAGACGCACCUGAUGGAAUCAAGACUAGGUUGUAAGUCUCCCCAUGUGAUUGGGGAUGCACAGUAAAGUUUGAAAACUGCUCUAGAACAAGGCCCAUUCCCUGACAUUGAUUUAAUGGACUUGUUUUGAAUUAAUUAAUGGAGCCGAACUGACCUUGCUGUUUCAGAAUUUUGUUGAUUACACCACCCUGGAGAAACUUCCAGUAAAACAUAAAUCUGCCAAAAUCGUUUCCAAGCUCGAUUAUCCCAGACGGAAUCCCCUCCCAGGCCAUGGAUGUUCUGAAAGCUCAGGAUAAAAUGUAUUCCACAUCCCUGAUCUUUGCGAGGGCGACACUUUGGGAGUGUGGUGGAGAGUGAGAACCUCCUUUCAGGGCCAGCUCUGAAGCUUGGCUCUGCAUUGGUGACAACUUUUCCUGCCACACCUGAGAGGACCUGGGCUCUGCCCCCACGGAGAACAGUUACAGUAUCUCCAUCCUCAUCUGUGGUCUCCCUGCACCAAAGCCUGGCAAAGAGGUGACCCUUCUCAGGAUUUUCUGAACAGAGCCAGCAGCCCAUGGCUAUCAAAAGAGCACAUGAGCCUACUAUCAAAGGGCUUAAAGAGACACAGAAUCACCCAAGUAGAAAGCGGUAUUAAGCAGCCUAUUUUUCCAUCGACAGAUGAAUGGAUAAAGAAGAUGUGGUACAUAUAUACAAUGCAAUAUUACUCAGCCAUAAAAAGGAACAAAAUUGGGUCAUUUUAGCAAUGUGGUUGGACCUAGAGUCUGUCACACAGAGUGAAGUAAGUCAGAAAGAGAAAAACAAAUACCGUAUAUUAACGCAUAUAUACGGAAUCUAGAAAAAUGGUACUGAUGAACCUAUUUUCAGGGCAGGAAUAGAGACAGAGACGUAGACAAUGCACUUGUGG